CUCAGCUGCCUUUUGGCUUCUUUUGUUACUUUCUUAUCAUUACUUGCCUGAAAGAAAAGUUUCCACUUUGAUAACCCAGUUCUCAUUCACUCACUAGCAACUUACAGCAAAUAACAUGUAUU